rnacentral:rRNA from 1 species
GACGAACGCUGGCGGCGUGCCUAAUACAUGCAAGUAGAACGCUGACUACUUUAGCUUGCUAGAGUAGAAGGAGUUGCGAACGGGUGGAGUAACGCGUAGGUAAACCUGCCUACUAGCGGGGGGAGUAACUAUUGGAAACGGAUAGCUAAUACCGCCAUAACAGUGUUUAACACAUGUUAGAUGCUUGAAAGAUGCAAUUGCAUCACUAGUAGAUGGACCUGCGUUGUAUUAG